rnacentral:rRNA from 1 species
UGGGGAAUAUUGGACAAUGGGCGCAAGCCUGAUCCAGCCAUGCCGCGUGAGUGAUGAAGGCCUUAGGGUUGUAAAGCUCUUUCGUCAGGGAAGAUAAUGACGGUACCUGAAGAAGAAGCCCCGGCUAACUUCGUGCCAGCAGCCGCGGUAAUACGAAGGGGGCUAGCGUUGCUCGGAAUCACUGGGCGUUAAGCGCACGUAGGCGGCUUUCUAAGUCAGGGGUGAAAUCCCGGAGCUCAACUCCGGAACUGCCUUUGAUACUGGAAAGCCUGAGUUCGGGAGAGGUGAGUGGAACUGCGAGUGUAGAGGUGAAAUUCGUAGAUAUUCGCAAGAACACCAGUGGCGAAGGCGGCUCACUGGCCCGAUACUGACGCUGAGGUGCGAAAGCGUGGGGAGCGAAACAGGAUUAGAUACCCUGGUAGUCCACGCCGUAAACGAUGGAUGCUAGCCGUUGGACAGCUUGCUGUUCAGUGGCGCAG